UACGUAGGGCGCAAGCGUUGUCCGGAAUUAUUGGGCGUAAAGAGCUCGUAGGCGGUCUGUCGCGUCCGUUGUGAAAACUCGAGGCUCAACCUCGGGCUUGCAGUGGAUACGGGCAGACUAGAGUGCGGUAGGGGAGACUGGAAUUCCUGGUGUAGCGGUGGAAUGCGCAGAUAUCAGGAGGAACGCCGGUGGCGAAGGCGGGUCUCUGGGCCGUAACUGACGCUGAGGAGCGAAAGCAUGGGGAGCGAACAGG
rnacentral:rRNA from 1 species